rnacentral:lncRNA from 1 species
CUGAAGCCUGCUGCUGCUCUGGAUGAGAGUAGAAACAUAUCUAAAUUAUGUUGUUCUGCUAGAAUGUAUUCAUUGGAAGAGAAUACUUAUUGAAGAACAAGUGGAGAAAUUUUCACUAAUUCUGCUUUGGUCUAGAUCCAUGUUCCACUGGGAAGAGCAGGUGUUGGUAACUACAUAUGUUUUCAAGAAAUAUAUGCAAGAGCCAAGGAACAGCAAAGCAGAACUGUGGUGUUAAAGCAGCAUCGGCUUCGUGGUAGCUCCAGCACUUGCGUAGAUGCAAACUGACCUAAGGGAGACAAGUUUAACGCAGAUACCUGCUCAGGGAUGACACACUCACAAAAAUUCAUGUGACAAUGAGAUGGGAGUAAGAGGAGCUAACUGCUUUCAAGAAAGAAGGAAGAGUAUUUCCUGUUACACCAACAUCAGCUUUCCUUUUUGUGGACCAGAGAAUGGGAGGUGUGAGCUGGAUAGCACCUCGUUUUGAAUAGGAAGGAUAACUUGUUUGGUGUAUGACACUGCUAGUAAAUACUUUUGUCUUUCUACUUUCCUU